rnacentral:rRNA from 1 species
CUCCUACCGGAGGCAGCAGUGAGGAAUAUUGGUCAAUGGGCGCGAGCCUGAACCAGCCAAGUCGCGUGAGGGAAGACGGUCCUAUGGAUUGUAAACCUCUUUUGUCGGGGAGCAAAAGACGCCACGCGUGGCGUUCCGAGAGUACCCGAAGAAAAAGCAUCGGCUAACUCCGUGCCAGCAGCCGCGGUAAUACGGAGGAUUCAAGCGUUAUCCGGAUUUAUUGGGUUUAAAGGGUGCGUAGGCGGUCGGAUAAGUUAGAGGUGAAAUCCCGAGGCUCAACUUCGGAAUUGCCUCUGAUACUGUUC